rnacentral:rRNA from 1 species
GAUGAACGCUGGCGGCGUGCCUAAUACAUGCAAGUCGAGCGAACAGACGAGGAGCUUGCUCCUCUGACGUUAGCGGCGGACGGGUGAGUAACACGUGGAUAACCUACCUAUAAGACUGGGAUAACUUCGGGAAACCGGAGCUAAUACCGGAUAACAUGUUGAACCGCAUGGUUCGACAGUGAAAGACGGUCUUGCUGUCACUUAUAGAUGGAUCCGCGCCGCAUUAGCUAGUUGGUAAGGUAACGGCUUACCAAGGCAACGAUGCGUAGCCGACCUGAGAGGGUGAUCGGCCACACUGGAACUGAGACACGGUCCAGACUCCUACGGGAGGCAGCAGUAGGGAAUCUUCCGCAAUGGGCGAAAGCCUGACGGAGCAACGCCGCGUGAGUGAAGAAGGUCUUCGGAUCGUAAAACUCUGUUAUUAGGGAAGAACAAAUGUGUAAGUAACUAUGCACGUCUUGACGGUACCUAAUCAGAAAGCCACGGCUAACUACGUG